ACCUCCUGUGCCUACUGAGCUGAUAACAGUUAGAUAUUAAACAAAUACUGGCUCAGUUCAGCAGGAACCGGAGU
rnacentral:pre_miRNA from 1 species